UACGUAGGGGGCAAGCGUUAUCCGGAAUUACUGGGUGUAAUGGGUGAGUAGGCGGCAUGGUAAGCCAGAUGUGAAAGCCUUGGGCUUAACCCGAGGAUUGCAUUUGGAACUAUCAAGCUAGAGUACAGGAGAGGAAAGCGGAAUUCCUAGUGUAGCGGUGAAAUGCGUAGAUAUUAGGAAGAACACCAGUGGCGAAGGCGGCUUUCUGGACUGAAACUGACGCUGAGGCACGAAAGCGUGGGGAGCGAACAGG
rnacentral:rRNA from 1 species